rnacentral:rRNA from 1 species
GUGAGGAAUAUUGCGCAAUGGAGGCAACUCUGACGCAGCCAUGCCGCGUGCAGGAAGAAGGCGCUACGCGUUGUAAACUGCUUUUAACCGGGAAGAAACCCCAGGACGUGUCCUGGGUUGACGGUACCGGAGGAAUAAGCACCGGCUAACUUCGUGCCAGCAGCCGCGGUAAUACGAAGGGUGCAAGCGUUAUCCGGAUUCAUUGGGUUGAAAGGGUGCGUAGGCGGAGCGUUAAGUCAGUUGUGAAAUCCUGCAGCUUAACUGUAGACUUGCCAUUGAUACUGGCGCUCUUGAGUGCGCUUGAAGUGGGCGGAAUGUGCCGUGUAGCGGUGAAAUGCUUAGAUAUGGCACAGAACACCAAUUGCGAAGGCAGCUCACUAAGGCGAUACUGACGCUGAGGCACGAAAGCGUGGGGAUCGAACAGGAUUAGAAACCCUAGUAGUCC